UACGGAGGAUCCGAGCGUUAUCCGGAUUUAUUGGGUUUAAAGGGAGCGUAGGCGGAGGAUCAAGUCAGUUGUGAAAUGUAGUCGCUCAACGUCUGCACUGCAGUUGAAACUGGUCCCCUUGAGUGCGUAAGAGGCAGGCGGAAUUCGUCGUGUAGCGGUGAAAUGCUUAGAUAUGACGAAGAACUCCGAUUGCGAAGGCAGCUUGCUGGGCCGCAACUGACGCUGAAGCUCGAAGGUGCGGGUAUCGAACAGG
rnacentral:rRNA from 1 species